CAGCAGCCACGGUAACACGUAGGUGGCAAGCGUUGUCCGGAAUUAUUGGGCGUAAAGCGCACGCAGGUGGUUUGAUAAGUCUGAUGUGAAAGCCCACGGCUCAACCGUGGAGGGUCAUUGGAAUCUGUUAAACUUGAGUGCAGGAGAGAAAAGUGGAAUUCCUAGUGUAGCGGUGAAAUGCGUAGAGAUUAGGAGGAACACCAGUGGCGAAGGCGGCUUUUUGGCCUGUAACUGACACUGAGGCGCGAAAGCGUGGGGAGCAAACAGGAUUAGAUACCCGUGUAGUCCCUGUCUCUUAUAC
rnacentral:rRNA from 1 species